rnacentral:rRNA from 1 species
CAUNCAAGUCGAGCGCCCCGCAAGGGGAGCGGCAGACGGGUGAGUAACGCGUGGGAAUCUACCCAUCCCUACGGAACAACUCCGGGAAACUGGAGCUAAUACCGUAUACGCCCUUCGGGGGAAAGAUUUAUCGGGGAUGGAUGAGCCCGCGUUGGAUUAGCUAGUUGGUGGGGUAAAGGCCUACCAAGGCGACGAUCCAUAGCUGGUCUGAGAGGAUGAUCAGCCACAUUGGGACUGAGACACGGCCCAAACUCCUACGG